UACUCAGUAGUCAAUAAACACUGAGAGCAGUCAGCAGUCACUAUCAAUCAAAGUAGUCUUCAUUCAAUUCAUUACUCGGGUCAUAUUCGGGUCACAACGACCCGCUUUAUAACUCACCUUACCCACUCACUGACACAGUAUUUAGAAUCACCAUCAUAGAUUGAAAAACGAAAACAGUUUACGAGUUACGACCAUGACGGUGACGGUGGCCAUGACGAUGGAAGAAGACGAAGACGCCGAAAUAGAGCACGUUUACGUUGCUCAUGAAAUUGAUCUCGAUUACGAAUUCGACGCAGCUCGUUUCUUCGAUUUCAAUCGACCGGAAACUCCCGUUGAAGCUCAUCAAGCUGAACUUUGGUUUCAGAAUGCCCCAAACUACCCUCCUUCUCCUUUUGUGGCGAAGUUAGCGGUGAGAGAGGAAUUUGAUUUAGUUGAUGUUAACGACUCAACGAAAUCGAGGAAUGUUGAUUGUAUGAGUACUGUGGAUGAUGAUGAUAAAGGACUCGGUCCUACUGUUCCUUCUCAGAUUGAAAUUUCCGACAUUGUUAAUGGACAUACCUCUGGCAACAAAGCAACCGGUAACAGUUUGAUUUCUAAUUUUAAACCUGCUGUGCUGAAGGGUUCAACAUUAAUGAAACCUACAGCUACUCAAUUGGCUAGGAAAAAUCGUCCAGCUAAAAAUGUUGCUUCAAGAUUUCGGAAGCCACUAACUCAGAAUGAAAUGAAUUUAUCUAGCUCCUCUGGAGUAGAAAAUCAAUCUGCCAAGCGGCAAAAAUUAGAGGGUGGUCAUUUGUGCAAGGUUUCUGAUGUGAAGCAGCAAACUGAUUUUGUGCACAAGACACCUAUGAGGGCUGUCACUGUUGAACAAAACUCUGCUUGUUCCAAGCUGAAACUUACUAUUCCCAGAGAGCCUGACUUAAAAACAGCACACAGAGCACAAAGGAUAAGACCCAAAGUUGAAGAGGCAGAGCAGACGGCCAUGGCUGCCCCCAGGUUCAAAGCGCGUCCAUUAAAUAGAAGGAUUCUCGAUGCUCCUUCGUUGCCGCUUCUUAAAAGGAGCACUCCGCGCUUGCCAGAAUUUCAAGAGUUUCACUUGAAGACUUUGGAGAGAGCCAUGCAACACACAUCUGCUACCUCAUCUUCACUUCACUGCAAUGAUUCUGAAAAGGGUUGGGACAAGCAUACUUCUGUUUCUGCUCUUGAACAUAGAAUCAAGGAUGCCAGAAGGCCUACUGCCAUGGGUGCCCCAAAGCAUGAUGGAUUGGGUUUUACUCAUAUUUUUAAAGCUCAGCCUCUUCAUAAGAAGAUACUAUCUAAUAAAGAGCAUGCUAGUGUUGUACAGACCAACAAGGAGGAAAUAACAGUGCCAAUGGAAUUUGAUUUACACACUGAAAAGGGGAUUCAGCAGAACCCUCCCAUUGAACUAUUUAGCAAGUUGUCUCUGACCUCGGAAGGCCAACCUAAUAACGGAUCUCAUUUCCAGCUGCCUCAACAAUCCAGGAUGUGCAGAAAGGUUUAACCUCUAUAAUUUUGAACUACAUGAGAAGGCUUUUACUUUCGGGGCAAAGAAAAUUCAUCAUGGGAAUGGUGGUUGCCAUAGUCUGUUAAGUGCACGGAGGAGCUUGGGAAUUCGGUGAUAGUAAGGAGUAAAUGUGCAGCCAGCUUUUUUAUGGGCAUCUGACUUCAAGUUUUGCUGCUGAUGUAUGUGAAGAUUGACGGUACAUAGUUGAAUCUGACAGACAGCCAACUCUUUUCUGAUGAGAGAUGGUUCUUACUGUAAAAAGAAUCUUAGAAAGUUUUAGAAAUUAACAUGUCCAGGUGCAUAGCUUGUGUUUACUAAUUAUGAUCAUAGAUUCAUAAUCAUUAAUUGAAAAAGUAAAUCAUUACAGGCAAGAGUUGCAUUGUCCUUGAGCUUAUAUUUGGUUUUUUCGAGUUAUUUACUUACCCCUGCUUGGCUUAACCAUAUAUUUUAGAAUUUUCACAUCAAAGUAUAAAUCAUGAUAUUAUUAUUUUAGUGAUUGAAUUGAUUAGCGCGGGAAGGAUCAUUAGGCAUUACGAGCAGUCGUGACUGUUUGCUUCUAAACUCUUGAAUAGUAGCAUGUUAGUGUA